AUUGAACGCUGGCGGCAGGCCUAACACAUGCAAGUCGAACGAGUGGCGGACGGGUGAGUAAUGUCUGGGAAACUGCCCGAUGGAGGGGGAUAACUACUGGAAACGGUAGCUAAUACCGCAUCCCAUCGGAUGUGCCCAGAUGGGAUUAGCUAGUAGGUGGGGUACUGGCUCACCUAGGCGACGAUCCCUAGCUGGUCUGAGAGGAUGACCAGACACACUGGAACUGAGACACGGUCCAGACUCGUACGGGAGGCAGCAGUGGGGAAUAUUGCACAAUGGGCGCAAGCCUGAUGCAGCCAUGCGGCGUGUAUGAAGAAGGACUUCGGGUUGUAAAGUACUUUCAGCGGGGAGGCGGUACCCGCAGAAGAAGCACCGGCUAACUCCGUGCCAGCAGCCGCGGUAAUAC
rnacentral:rRNA from 1 species